GACGAACGCUGGCGGCGUGCUUAACACAUGCAAGUCGAACGGAAAGGCCCUGCUUUUGUGGGGUGCUCGAGUGGCGAACGGGUGAGUAACACGUGAGUAACCUGCCCUUGACUUUGGGAUAACUUCAGGAAACUGGGGCUAAUACCGGAUAGGAGCUCCUGCUGCAUGGUGGGGGUUGGAAAGUUUCGGCGGUUGGGGAUGGACUCGCGGCUUAUCAGCUUGUUGGUGGGGUAGUGGCUUACCAAGGCUUUGACGGGUAGCCGGCCUGAGAGGGUGACCGGCAAAAUUGGGAAUGAGAUACGGCCCAGACUCCUACGGGAGGCAGCAGUGGGGAAUAUUGCACAAUGGGCGGAAGCCUGAUGCAGCAACGCCGCGUGCGGGAUGACGGCCUUCGGGUUGUAAACCGCUUUCGCCUGUGACGAAGCGUGAGUGACGGUAAUGGGUAAAGAAGCACCGGCUAACUACGUG
rnacentral:rRNA from 1 species